rnacentral:rRNA from 1 species
UGUAGUUUUUUAUAGCUGCGGCGAGUUAUCUUUAAUAGAACCAAAAGUUCUAUGGAUAGCAAUGGUGGUAGAACAUGUAAUUCUACACUGUUUUUAUUAGCGAUUUAUUCGCAUAACGUUCCACGUAGAAUACGGAUUAUGACUAUUUUCUAUGUGAUAGUCUUGACCAAAACACGUGCCAGCAGUCGCGGUAACACGGUACAGACGAGUGUUAUUCAUCUUUAAUAGGUUUAAAGGGUACCUAGACGGCAGAUUUAACCUCCACUGGGCUGGAAUGGUACAUCUUUGCUAGAGUUUUAUGUGAGAGGGAUUUAGUACUAUCGGAGUAGAGAUAAAAUUUUUUGAUACUGUAGGGCACUGAUAACGGCGAAGGCAGACCUUUAUGUGAAAACUGACGUUGAGGGACGAAGGCUUGGGUAACAAACAGGAUUAGAUACCCUAAUAGUCCAAGCAGAGACUGAUGAGUGCCAUAGAUUAGAUUGUAUUUGGUCUAUAAAUGAAAGUGAAAGCAUUCCACCUUAAGAGUAAUGCGGCAACGCAGGAACUGAAAUCAUUAGACCGUUUCUGAUACCAGUAGUGAAGUAUGUUGUUUAAUUCGAUAAUCCACGAAAAAUCUUACCACAAUUUGAAUAUUAUAGCAACUAUAGGAAAGUUUUCUUAUAUCAUCAAAAAAAAAAUGGAAGUGCUAUUAAUACAGGUGUUGCAUGGCUGUCUUCAGUUGAUGUCGUGAGGCUCGGGUUAACAUCCGAUUAAAACAACGUGAACCCGGAUUUUAUUUUAGUUGGUUUAACCAAUUUCAUAGAGUACAGAAUAUUUAUUCCCAAAUUAAUAUAACGCUGUUUAGGCGCAGGAAU